rnacentral:rRNA from 1 species
GGGUUGUGAGGUUAAGCGACUAAGCGUACACGGUGGAUGCCCUGGCAGUCAGAGGCGAUGAAGGACGUGCUAAUCUGCGAUAAGCGUCGGUAAGGUGAUAUGAACCGUUAUAACCGGCGAUUUCCGAAUGGGGAAACCCAGUGUGUUUCGACACACUAUCAUUAACUGAAUCCAUAGGUUAAUGAGGCGAACCGGGGGAACUGAAACAUCUAAGUACCCCGAGGAAAAGAAAUCAACCGAGAUUCCCCCAGUAGCGGCGAGCGAACGGGGAGGAGCCCAGAGCCUGAAUCAGUGUGUGUGUUAGUGGAAGCGUCUGGAAAGGCGCGCGAUACAGGGUGACAGCCCCGUACACAAAAAUGCACAUACUGUGAGCUCGAUGAGUAGGGCGGGACACGUGGUAUCCUGUCUGAAUAUGGGGGGACCAUCCUCCAAGGCUAAAUACUCCUGACUGACCGAUAGUGAACCAGUACCGUGAGGGAAAGGCGAAAAGAA